UAUAGCUACAAUAGUGCUACCACAAUACUUCGAAGACAAUGGAGAAGACAACAUUUCUUAAGAUUUUCUUGGUCUCGUUUUUGCUUAUUUUGCUAGGACAAUCAAGCAAUGCGGCGUUUAAAUGCACCAAAGAUAUUGAAUGCACAAUCAACUGCAUAGGACAUCCCAAAUGUGACUUGACUACGCACAAGUGCGUCUGUGUGCCAGCUCCAGUAGUUAAUAAUGGAGCAGAGAGAGUUCACAAGACAGAUCGGGACUAAUUUAUGUUUGUUAUUGUGCAAAUUGAACCAUGACUUUUUGUUCUAAAUUUUCAUAAGUAAUAAGGUUCUUAAGGUGCAUUAAUUU